UAUGGCCAUAUCACAUUAAAACACCGGCUCUUGUACGAUCAUUGAACUUAAACAAUGUUGAGCCUGGUUAGUACCAAGAUGGGUGACCUCUUUGGAAUUC